CCUACGGGAGGCAGCAGUGGGGAAUAUUGGACAAUGGGCGGAAGCCUGAUCCAGCAACGCCGCGUGAGGGAUGACGGCCUUCGGGUUGUAAACCUCUUUCAGCGGGGGCGAAGUUUUGUCUUUUUGGGCGAAGUGACGGUACCCGCAGAAGAAGCACCGGCUAACUCCGUGCCAGCAGCCGCGGUAAU
rnacentral:rRNA from 1 species